rnacentral:rRNA from 1 species
UACGUAGGGUGCAAGCGUUAAUCGGAAUUACUGGGCGUAAAGCGUGCGCAGGCGGUUUUUGUAAGUUUUGUCGUGAAAUCCCCCGGGCUCAACCUGGGGAAUUGCGAUAAGACUGCAAAGGCUAGAAUCUGGCAGAGGGGGGGUAGAAUUCCACGUGUAGCAGUGAAAUGCGUAGAGAUGUGGAGGAACACCGAUGGCGAAGGCAGCCCCCCUGG